rnacentral:rRNA from 1 species
AACGAACGCUGGCGGCAUGCCUAACACAUGCCGGUCGAACGAGACCUUCGGGUCUAGUGGCGCACGGGUGCGUAACGCGUGGGAACCUGCCCUUAGGUUCGGAAUAACUCCCCGAAAGGGGUGCUAAUACCGGAUAAUGUCUUCGGACCAAAGAUUUAUCGCCUUUGGAUGGGCCCGCGUUGGAUUAGCUAGUUGGUAGGGUAAAAGCCUACCAAGGCGACGAUCCAUAGCUGGUCUGAGAGGAUGAUCAGCCACACUGGGACUGAGACACGGCCCAGACUCCUACGGGAGGCAGCAGUGGGGAAUAUUGGACAAUGGGCGAAAGCCUGAUCCAGCAAUGCCGCGUGAGUGAUGAAGGCCUUAGGGUUGUAAGGCUCUUUUACCCGGGAUGAUAAUGACAGUACCGGGAGAAUAAGCUCCGGCUAACUCCGUG